rnacentral:ncRNA from 1 species
AUAUAAGCGAAGAUAGGAUGUAAAGUAGUGUUUAUCUCCCUGUUUUUUAGAGAGCUGAUGAUUGGUGGAAAUCAGUACAAAGAUAAACAUGAAUUUCAAUUCUGGAGCUUUCUUUUCUAAAAAAGAUGAAACAUCUUCUAAAAGAAAAGACGGUCAAAUAGAUCGUUAACAAUGAAGAGUGGUAGAUAGUCAUAUCUACAACUAGGGUGGUACCGCGAUAAUUGAUCGUCCCUACU